UUUUGUUUCGCGAGAACAGCAUGAAGCACAAGAAGGCGGUUUCAUUGUCUUGUGGUUCAGCAAACCACUGCAGGACGCCGGUACCAGCGCUGUUACCGUAGUUCACGUCUACGGUGUCCCGUAAUUCCGCGAACAGCAGUCCGUCUACCGACAAGCCAAAACACGUGGCGUGUUGAAAGCUUUUCUUUUUGUUUUUGUUUUGUGCGCUUUCCAGAUGCAGAUCUCAGCUCCGGGAGCCAGACUCCAAGUUCCGUGGCCAGCUCUAGGGUCAGUGCUGCGGACAGAGACCGCAGGCGCCGAAGGCCAUCCGAGACUCGGAGGCCGUGGGAGCGUUCGAGAGCGACGCCUUCCAGGCUGGUGCCACCGACGCCGCUUCCUCGCAAGGGGCGAAUUCAACAGCCAGAGGUCGAGGAAGAAGUCAUCGAGAAAGCCCUGAAGAAGCGCCGAGAGGCGCUCGCGAGAUGGAAAUCCAGCGCCUCGUCCGCUCUU